rnacentral:misc_RNA from 1 species
AGAGUUAAAUAGUAUGUGAAAUUGUUGAAAGGGAAACAAUUGAAGUCAGUCAUGCUAGUGGGAAUCAACUUAGGGGAAACUCUAGGUGCACUUCUUCGUUUGGCAGGUUAGCGUCAAUUUUGGAUGUCAUAAAAUGAUUGGAAGAAGGUAGCUCCUUUGGGAGUGUUAUAGCCCUUGGUAGAUGUGAUGUUUGGGAUCGAGGAUUGCAACAGAUACCCUUUGGGGCUAGUUGCCUUAUCUCUGGUUAUGGAUAGCAUGCUGACCGUGAUCUAAUUACUGGUUAAAAGAUUAGAGUGUGCAUAAAUUCGUUAAGAACACUAACGUAAUGGCUUUAAAUGA